AGUAGGUGCGGGCAGGUGUGGCUAGGAAGAAGGUCCCGGAGGCAGCGGACUGGACAUCGGGUGUGAGCGGCCGAAGAGACUGGGACCGGCGAGUGGCAACAGCUGGCUGGAUGCGGCGGGAUGAGCCGGUAGAAGAAAGCAGUCAUUAUUUGGAUAACAUCCUAUUGGAGAAUAUCGGUGAUGUUAAGACAUUGCAAGCAUUAUUUGAACUCGAAGCACUUCUUCUUACAAGUAUGCUCAUUUUAUAAUCGUUUCCUUGGUUGUGGUGGAUUAUUUAGUGAAUAUAAUUCCUUUUUUAGGUCAUUGCAUGAAAAAUAAGAAUACUUAUAUCACUGAAUUACUGGUGAUUUUCUAUCGGAAGCUAGUUCAGUUAGGCGCUUCUAACGUCUUAAGCUCUAUUUCUCUUCAGUUGCCCUUAAUUACCAGAUGUUGGGUAUUUUCUUCCAUGAAACUGCUCUUCAGUUUGAUAUAAUCUGCAGGAGCAAUCCAGGAGCAUGGCGUGUCACCUAUGUCCUAAUCAAGUGUGUAAUCUCCUAUUGAUUUUGCCUACUGAAUUAUAACAAGUUUUGAACUUUGUUGACUGAUUUUCCUUAUCCUGCUUGUUAGCUUUUCAUGUCAUUCUGCACGCUGCUCAUAGUGUGCAUUCCUUGUUAUUUGCUAAUGGUUGUACUGUACAAAGCUUGGUCUGUUAUUGAAACACAUAAGUGCGGCAGCAAAUUCAUAAUGUGCAUUUCUUGUUA